rnacentral:rRNA from 1 species
GAUGAACGCUAGCGGCAGGCUUAAUACAUGCAAGUCGAGGGGUAGCAAGAUUGUAGCAAUACAAUUGUUGACGACCGGCAAACGGGUGCGGAACACGUACACAACCUUCCUACAAGUGGAGAAUAGCCCAGAGAAAUUUGGAUUAAUACCCCGUAACAUAGCGGUGUGGCAUCACAUUGCUAUUAUAGCUUCGGCGCUUGUUGAUGGGUGUGCGGCUGAUUAGAUAGUUGGCGGGGUAACGGCCCACCAAGUCUACGAUCAGUAGCUGAUGUGAGAGCAUGAUCAGCCACACGGGCACUGAGACACGGGCCCGACUCCUACGGGAGGCAGCAGUAAGGAAUAUUGGACAAUGGACGCAAGUCUGAUCCAGCCAUGCCGCGUGAAGGAUUAAGGUCCUCUGGAUUGUAAACUUCUUUUAUAAGGGACGAAAAAAGGUCUUUCUAGAUCGUCUGACGGUACCUUAUGAAUAAGCACCGGCUAACUCCGUGCCAGCCGCCGCCGUAAGAC